ACUCGGCGUAAAGAGUGGUUAAAAUAAAACAGAACUAAAGCCGAACCUUCUCAGAACUGUUAUACGUACUCGAGAAUAAGAAGCCCCUUAACGAAAGUAGCUUUAACAUUUUUGACCCCACGAAAGCUGGGAAACAAACUGGGAUUAGAUACCCCACUAUGCCCAGCUAUAAACAUUGAUAGAGCUUCUAUAUUUGCUAUUCGCCCGGGUACUACGAGCAUCAGCUUAAAACCCAAAGGACUUGGCGGUGCUUAAGACCCCCCUAGAGGAGCCUGUUCUAGAACCGAUAACCCCCGUUGAACCUCACCCUCUCUUGUUCAUUCCGUCUAUAUACCGCCGUCGUCAGCUUACCCCGUGAGGUCAACAGUAAGCAAGAUUAGCA
rnacentral:rRNA from 1 species